rnacentral:rRNA from 1 species
UACGUAGGAUGCAAGCGUUGUCCGGAAUCACUGGGCGUAAAGGGUGCGUAGGCGGGUCUUUAAGUCAGGGGGGAAAUCCUGGAGCUCAACUCCAGAACUGCCUUUGAUACUGAAGAUCUUGAGUCCGGGAGAGGUGAGUGGAACUGCGAGUGUAGAGGUGAAAUUCGUAGAUAUUCGCAAGAACACCAGUGGCGAAGGCGGCUCACUGGCCCGGUACUGACGCUGAGGCACGAAAGCGUGGGGAGCAAACAGG